AAUAGAGUUUGUACCAUCUCCAGUUGGGCUCGGGGACGUGACGCGCUAGCGGCGGUGGAGAGGAACCGGUGGCAGCGUCUCCAAGGCUGCUGUAGCCGCCGAGUACUGGGAGGAAAUUGUGUGUUCUUUGUGACCCAGGAAGAACCAAGCGGUCCUGCUGUUGUUUGUAGAACGGAGGGCAAAGUUUGUACCAACUUCAGGAAAGUCGUGACGUGCUGUCAGAUCAUGGUGGUGAUGGAAGGGGAAAGAUGUCACCUGGACAGGAUUGGGAUAAGAGACAAAUGGGAUUUUUGUCACUCACGACUAAUUGCAAUUGAUAGAAGAUGACAAGGAGGUAAUCGGAAAUGUCAUGAACUUGACUUGGGGCGUAGAGUCAGAAGUGAAGUAGCAUGAUGUCUGGAUAAACCUCGGUCUUCUUCUCUCAGCUUGGUGGUUUCAUAUUUUCAGUUCCUCCAGCAAGGAUAUUUGAUUGGUUGUUCUGACAGAGAGCCGUGGUGGCAAAUAUGUUUCAGUCACUUGUGUCACAGCACAAGAACUGAGCAGAAAGCAAUGGUAAUUGUGGGUGAAAAUAAUAAAUGUUUAGAGGUUGCUUCCCACUGGAAAAGGCUUAGGUCCCGGACCAAGGCUGUCCCGUAGACCGUUGUGCAGCGGCAGGAAUGCUGUGCACACGCUGCUCAGUAGGAGUGGCAGCCACACGCAGGGCGGGAUGUGACUCACGCAGCAGAGAAACGGGGUUUUCUCUUUAUUUUGUUUUGUUUGUUAUCUUGAGACAGAGUCUCACUGUGUAG